rnacentral:pre_miRNA from 1 species
AAAAAGACAAACCCUGGGUUUCCGUGUCCAACGUUUGACCGUCCGUUUUAUUUGAAAAAAUUAUGAAAAAAAAUUAAAAAGACAAGUCACGCAUAAAGUAUUAAUCAUGUUUUAUCAUCUAACAACAAUAAAAAUACUAAUUAUAAAAAAAUUCAUAUAAGACAGACAGUCAAACGUUGGACACGGAAACUCAGGGUUUGUCUUUUU